UCCUGAUUGCAUCGCUGCCGGCGGCUAGUUUGUAUCCUCUGACACUUGCUUCACCUCACAUUUGUUCUUGGUCUUAUUAUUAGUGUAUUUUACUAUCGUUACAUAUCACUGUCGUUGCCGAAUUAUUUAUAACUUUAUAUUUUAAACCUAUAUUCAUUGAAACGUAACGCCGCUAGCAUAUUAGCGUGUUAGCUUGCCUUCUGUUUACAUUGUGGAACAUCAUCUCCCCCUAUUUGUCUUGUGUGCUAACUGUUUCUCUUUUUAAGUGUAUAUACUAAGACUCAUCAAGCAACCUUGGUUACCGCAGGAUGCAGUUCAUGCCCAGACCUGAUGGCAGAGCUGAGAAUGGGAAGCGGUGACCUGACAAGUGCUAAGAGGAUAGAGCUGGAUAAAGGACGCGACAACUUUGUUUUUUUCUACAACAUUUCAAAUGCUAUUAGAUUGUUAAUGAUAAUCUUUAAUUUUUAUAUUUUUAUUAAGUCUUGUUGUGCAAGCACUGAUGAGCUUGUGCAGAGGCAGCAGCUUUUGCCAGAGGGGAACUGGAAUCCCCUGGUUGGGCCUGGGUUCCCCUGAGGUUUUUUUUCUCGAUGGGAGUUUUGGGUUCCUCACCACCGUUUGCAUAUUGUUUUGCACUAUCUGCCUGGCCGGGGGGGCUGCUUUAGAAUUCAUACUUGUAUUAAAUGUGUCUCAUGUACA